rnacentral:rRNA from 1 species
CCUACGGGGGGCUGCAGUGGGGAAUAUUGGACAAUGGGGGGAACCCUGAUCCAGCCAUGCCGCGUGUGUGAAGAAGGCCCUCGGGUUGUAAAGCACUUUCAGUGAGGAAGAACGCCUGGUGGUUAAUACCCAUCAGGAAAGACAUCACUCACAGAAGAAGCACCGGCUAACUCCGUGCCAGCAGCCGCGGUAAUACGGAGGGUGCGAGCGUUAAUCGGAAUUACUGGGCGUAAAGCGCGCGUAGGUGGCUUGAUAAGCCGGUUGUGAAAGCCCCGGGCUCAACCUGGGAACGGCAUCCGGAACCGGCAAGCCAGGGGGGAGGAGAGGGAGGUAGAAAUUCCGGUGGAGCGGGGGAAUGCGUUGGGGUUGGGAGGAAUACCAGUGGCGAAGGCGGCCUUCUGGACUGACACUGACACUGAGGUGCGAAAGCGUGGGUAGCAAACAGGAUUAGAUACCCGAGUAGUC